rnacentral:rRNA from 1 species
CGGCCAGUGAAUUCGAGCUCGGUACCCGGGGAUCCGAUCAGGCCUAACACAUGCAAGUCGAACGAUGGCAGCAAUGUCAUAGUGGCGCACGGGUGAGGAACACGUAGCUAACCUGCCCCCGAGUGUGGGAUAACGUCUCGAAAGGGAUGCUAAUACCGCAUAAGCUCACGCUGAGUAAGUAGGUGUGAGAAAAGAUUUAUCGCUUGGGGAGGGGGCUGCGGCCCAUCAGGUAGUUGGUGAGGUAACGGCUCACCAAGCCGACGACGGGUAGGGGGUCUGAGAGGAUGGCCCCCCACACUGGGACUGAGACACGGCCCAGACUCCUACGGGAGGCAGCAGUGAGGGAUAUUGCGCAAUGGGGGAAACCCUGACGCAGCGACGCCGCGUGGGUGAUGAAGGCCUUCGGG